rnacentral:rRNA from 1 species
UACGGGGGGGGCAAGCGUUGUUCGGAAUUACUGGGCGUAAAGGGCGCGUAGGCGGCUUGGCAAGUCAAAGGUGAAAUCCCUCGGCCUAACCGAGGAACUGCCUUUGAUACUGCUUGGCUUGAGGCCGGGAGAGGGUAGCGGAAUUCCCAGUGUAGCGGUGAAAUGCGUAGAUAUUGGGAGGAACACCAGUGGCGAAGGCGGCUACCUGGACCGGUUCUGACGCUGAGGCGCGAAAGCGUGGGGAGCAAACAGG